rnacentral:rRNA from 1 species
GUCCACGCCCUAAACGAUGGGUACUAGACGUUGGGAGGUUUAUCCUCUUGGUGUCGCAGCUAACGCAAUAAGUACCCCGCCUGGGGAGUACGGUCGCAAGAUUAAAACUCAAAGGAAUUGACGGGGGCCCGCACAAGCGGUGGAGCAUGUGGUUUAAUUCGAUGCAACGCGAAAACCUUACCUGCCCUUGACAUCUAGAGAACCCUGCAGAGAUGCGGGGGUGCCUUCGGGGAACUCUAAGACAGGUGCUGCAUGGCUGUCGU